AUGUUUUUGCACAUCCAUUGGAAUUUGUUGCGCCGCUAUCCUCAGGGCUCUCGGGGUCUGUAUUCAUUGCAUGAAGCGAGCUGCGGGAUCUCACGGAGUGCAGUAUUUUCUCAAAUAAUUUUCUCAACCCAAAAAAUUGUUUGUUGGAUUUUCAUAUUAUUACAUUUAAAUACGACAAAAUCUGUCCGAUCCUUGUAUGAUGAUAAACACGGUUCGUUGAUUUUUUUUCUCGUUCUGAAUCUGCAUGCUCAAUAUGUGUGUUGUACACACAUAGGAUGGCAAAUCGUCGUACGCACAGCACAUUCAGUUUAUUAG
rnacentral:rRNA from 1 species